rnacentral:misc_RNA from 1 species
GCUGGACUAGCGGCAACUCCUUUUCCUCCUCUCCUUUGGAAUCCAUGGCGAUUCCGAAGCUUGCCAGCCUAACGGUUUUUCUAGCUUUAAUUGUCUUCUCCGCCGCAGCGGACGCGAUCGUCGACGGCGGAGACGACAUAACUGAAGUCGUGAGAGAGGAUGGCUCUGGUUCUUCCCUGCUUAAGAUCGAAUUAGAAAAACUUAAUUCUAAGAUCCGAGAGCUUGAGGUCCUAAUCGAUGAAAAAGCACGGGAAUUGGAGAAAAAGGAUUAUCUCAUAUCUCAAAAGGAUGAAAUAUUUAGGGACAAGUCUGAUAGGGUUUCGUUUCUUGAAAGCGAGAUAGAAUCUCUCCAGAGAGAAGGGAAAUUACAUGCUGAGAAAACAAUUGCGAAGGCUCAUUCACGUGCUGGUGAAUUAGAGAAGCAGGUCAGUGAACUUAAAAAGGAACUAGAUGCUCAAAACAGGGAGAAAAAUGCUCUGGAAGUGCGAUCAAAUGAAGCUGAGAAGAAGAUGCAUGAGUUUAUUUCAAAACUGGAGAAACUUCAGAACACUAAUGAAGAACAGAAGAGCAAAAUUCAGAAACUCGAACGUGCACUUAAAGUGGCUGAGGAAGAAAUGAUUAAAGCGAAGUUUGAGGUCACUUCAAGGACUGAAGAGUUGAUGGAGGUACAUGGUGCGUGGUUACCACCAUGGCUUGCUUCAUUCUGGAACGAGCAUGCAAAGCCUAUCGUAAAUAUGGUGGUGCAAAAGGUGUGGGUGGG